rnacentral:rRNA from 1 species
UUUAAAGAGAGUUUGAUCCUGGCUCAGGACGAACGCUGGCGGCGUGCCUAAUACAUGCAAGUCGAACGAACGGAGGAAGAGCUUGCUCUUCCAAUGUUAGUGGCGGACGGGUGAGUAACACGUGGGCAACCUGCCUGUAAGUUGGGGAUAACUCCGGGAAACCGGGGCUAAUACCGAAUGAUAGA